UGCUCUUCUCGAAAGCCCUGCUCAAAGAUUUUGCGCUUGUGUCUGAACUCAAUGACAGUCUUAGUGUAAGAGUUCAAGGUAGUAACGGAGGCCGCCAUGCAGCAGGUGAAAGAGCCCCAUGCCAGACUGUGGAGAGAGAAACCAGCAGACAGAGCUGGGUUAAGACAGCAGCUCAUGUUAUAUUUCUGACGCCAAGAGACACACAUACACCGGAUGCGACUAGGCAGAGGGGCUGACCUUGAACAUCCACUGAUCCUCAGACCCACUGAAACUCCCUGCCUGGAGAAUCCACUGGCCCACUCCCGGCUUUGCCAAUGGCUUGGAAAUGGGGACCGAGCCAUGUGUUUUGAACACUUGGACAUCUGAGAAGAUCACAAGCAGCCCAUCCUCAUUUUGAGGAGAGGUCUGCUACCAGCCUCUGGCAUGGCAUGAGGAACCCCAUGACCUUCCUCGGGCUCCUGUGAAGAUGCUGCUGCUGUUCACAUCUGUCUCAAGGGAGCUGGGACUGAGCUGAUGUUUGCACCCUGCCCAGCGUCCUGCAUGGACAGGUACAACCCCUCCGGUGAAGGGCAGAGCUGAUGUGCCCCGUUUGACUCUCAC